GCAGGCGCGUAAAUUACCCAAUUCUGACACAGAGAGGUAGUGACAAUAAAUAACAAUAGAUGGCUUUUUAAGUCGUCUAAUUGGAAUGAGAACAAUUUAAACCCCUUAUCGAGGAUCAAUUGGAGGGCAAGUCUGGUGCCAGCAGCCGCGGUAAUUCCAGCUCCAAUAGCGUAUAUUAAAGUUGUUGCAGUUAAAAAGCUCGUAGUUGGAUUUCUGGUGGGAGAUGCGAGUCGUUCCUUAAUUGGUUUGUACUUUGCAAUCUCCGGCCAUCUUUAAGUGGAACUAGUCUUGCAUUAGGUUGCAGGGCUAUGGAUACUUAUCUUUUACUGUGAAUAAAUUAGAGUGUUCAAAGCAGGCAUUUGCCGUGAAUAUACUAGCAUGGAAUAAUAAUAUAGGACUUUGGUACUAUUUUGUUGGUUUGCGCACCAAAGUAAUAAUUAAUAGGGACAGUUGGGGGUAUUUGUAUUUGGUCGUCAGAGGUGAAAUUCUUGGAUUGACUAAAGACAAACUACUGCGAAAGCAUUUACCAAGGAUGUUUUCAUUAAUCAAGAACGAAAGUUAGGGGAUCGAAGAUGAUUAGAUACCAUCGUAGUCUUAACCAUAAACUAUGCCGACUAGGGAUCAGCGAACAAUGUUUUUAGUUUUCGCUGGCACCUUAUGAGAAAUCAAAGUCUUUGGGUUCCGGGGGGAGUAUGGUC
rnacentral:rRNA from 1 species